rnacentral:misc_RNA from 1 species
AAGGUGUUGCUCUUUUCUCAAUGUUCUCUUUGUUUAUACGUAUACUGAUCACAAUAUAAUGGAUAUUUACUAAUGAUAUUUGAAUUUCUCAUUUGUGGUCACUUUAGUGCAAUGAAGUUCUUCUCUUUGUUCCACUUUCCGUUAAUUGGUUCAGUAUCUGGAAUGCCUGCCUAAUUCUUAGUAAUGGGGUAACUAAGGAAGCAAAAUAAAUCAUCAAAAUAUUAGCAUAACAUGUGGGUUAUUGCAUUUUCUAGAAAAUAGAUUGUGUUUUCUAGUAUUAUUGCUGAUAUUUCUUUAACUUUUUUUUACGCUAAAACCAAUAAACUAACUAUGCCUGAGUUUCUUCUUGCACCUUA